GUUUCCUCCGUAGCUUCCAACGUCACCUCCUCCUUAGCCACCUCCCUCACGGCCACCACUACCGUAUCCUUUUCCACCACAACCUCUGCUAUGUCUCUCGUAAUCACCACCGCCUCCUCCAUUUCCGCCACCACCUCCUCCGUAUUCAUUACCGCCUCCGCUGCGGUAUCUGCCACCACCUCCACCACGGGUUCCUCCACCGCCUUGAGCAAAUGGGUGGCUGUGGUAAUUUGAUUUUGGUUUUUGAUUUAUUCUCAAGCCAAAGAAUAAAUUAUCUUAAUUGGAUAGUCAUAGCCGUUGUUUUUUUUAAGAUUGUGAUUUAUUUUGCAAUUUAAAUCUUUGUUUUGAUAUAAACUUGAGAUUCAGUUCCUUUAAAAAACUUCUUCUUCUUCAACAAUGGUGGCUUGAUUUGAUUUUUGCUCUCUCUCAUGGGUCAAAUUCGUUUCAUCUACGUAGCAUCAAGAUUACGGUUAAUCGAAUCUCCUGUUAAUAUGGACAUGAUAUAUAGAAUGGAUAUAGAUAAGUAAAAAUGUUUCCCAAUGGAUAUAUUUAAAUGGACUCGUUAUAAUGGACACCAAAAAAUUGUUUGUUAAUUUUUCUUUCAGUUUGCAGAGACCUCCAUCUCCAAGACCUUAUGGACAUGGCACUUUGGUUUCUUUCCAAACCACGGUUAAUCGAAUCUCCUGUUAUUAUGAACAUGGUAUAUAGAAUGGAUAUGAAUCAAUAAAAGGUUUCUGAAUGGAUAUAUAUAAAUAGACUCGUUAUUAUGGACAUCAAAAAAUUGUUUGUUGAUUUUUCUUUCAGUUUGCAGAGA